CCUACGGGGGGCUGCAGUGGGGAAUAUUGGACAAUGGGGGCAACCCUGAUCCAGCCAUGCCGCGUGUGUGAAGAAGGCCCUCGGGUUGUAAAGCACUUUCAGUGAGGAAGAACGCCUGGUGGUUAAUACCCAUCAGGAAAGACAUCACUCACAGAAGAAGCACCGGCUAACUCCGUGCCAGCAGCCGCGGUAAUACGGAGGGUGCGAGCGUUAAUCGGAAUUACUGGGCGUAAAGCGCGCGUAGGUGGCUUGAUAAGCCGGUUGUGAAAGCCCCGGGCUCAACCUGGGAACGGCAUCCGGAACUGUCAAGCUAGAGUGCAGGAGAGGAAGGUAGAAGUCCCGGUGUAGCGGUGAAAUGCGUAGAGAUCGGGAGGAAUACCAGUGGCGAAGGCGGCCUUCUGGACUGACACUGACACUGAGGUGCGAAAGCGUGGGUAGCAAACAGGAUUAGAUACCCGUGUAGUC
rnacentral:rRNA from 1 species